AUCUAUCUAUCACCCAGACUGGAGUGCAGUGGUGCAGUCUCGGCUCACUGCAACCUCCGCCUCCCGAGUUCAAGUGAUCCUCCUGCUUCAGCCUCCUGAGUAGCUGGGAUUACAGGGACGGUGGUGUCUGCUGUUCCGGGAUUGAGAGAGAUGAAGCACAUGAAGCACUUACUCACCUCAGUGACUGGUGUGCGCAGCCACUCCCUGCAGAGCCGGCUUCUUCCAUGGCAGGACCUGCAAAUGCUGGGCUCACAGAAGGCUCUGAGAAGUAAAUAACAGAAAUGAAGAAACUGAGCUCAGAAGAGGACAGCAACUUGCCCCAGGUCACACAGCUAGUAAAGAGCACAAGUGGGAUUCCAGAGCAGGCUCUCCUGACUUCAGUGUGCCAUGCAGUUCAGCUGCAUUUCAUAGAUCUUUACUGAGCGUAACCCAGUGCCAAGCCCUGUGCUAAGGAUCGGGGAUACAGACUAUUAGGGGAGAGGGAUAAUGUAUAUGCACAUGCAUGCACACGCACACACACACACACACACACAGACACACACACAGACACAUACAUAGACACACAUGUACACAGACACACACACAGACACACGGACACACAGCACACACAGAUAGACGCAUAUACAGAUGCACACAGACACAGACACACACACACACAAACACAGACACAUACACACACAUACACAGACACAUCGACACACACAGACACACAGAUGCAAACACAGGUGUACACACAGACACACACACACAUAGACACACAGACACACGCACAUACAUAGACACACACAGACACACACACAUACACACACACAGACACACACGCGCGCGCGUGCGCGUGGUUCUGAUACCAUUUCCUGCUGGCAGGUGGUGGGAUGUCCUCUGGUCCUCUCUGCCCUUUCCCUUCUGAGUUUCAGAUGGGAGGGAAAGCAGACAGGGAGGAGGUGGUAGGUGCUGAAUUACUCACCACCCAGUCUUAAAAUCUUCACACUUGUGACUUAGACUCCCAGAUGGUCCCUUUCAAGAAAUGAGCUCUAUUUCCCUUUAAAAGAGGGAGAGAGUAUGAUAGAGAAAAACGUUUUGUUCUGCAGUUUCAAGUUGUCAUUUGGGGGCAAUUUGUUCCUUUUCCUCCCUAUCUCUAUCUCUCUCCUCCCUCACCUUCAACCCAGACUGGUCCUAAGACCACAGAGAGCAUCACUUCUACCCAUCCUUCCCUGCACCAGCUUUCCCCAAAUCCCGGUGUCCAGUGCUGAGCCACUAGGCUGGGACUUGGGGGGUGACGCACAAGAGGGUUUCUUCUUUUUGACACUUGGGGGUUGGGAGGGAAGUCAGGGGUCCUUGGCUAGCCCAAGACUUAGAUCUGAUCUCCUUCACUGUCUCCUACUUUUGUUGAAAUGUUGGCUUGUUUGUGGACAGAAAGCUCUCUGGGCCAGGCAUGGUGGCUCACACCUGUAAUCCCAGCACUUUGGGAGGCCGAGGCAGGCGGAUCACCUGAGGUCAGGAGUUCGAGACCAGCCUGACCAACAUGGAGAAACCCUGUCUCUACUAAAAAUACAAAAUUAGCCGGGCAUGGUGGCACGUGCCUGUAAUCCCAGCUGCUCCGGAGGCUGAGACAGAAGAAUCGCUUGAACCUGGGAGGCGGAGUUUGCAGUGAGCUGAGAUCGCGUCAUUGCACUCCAGCCUGGGCAACAAGAGCGAAACUCCAUCACAAAAAAAAAAAAAAAAACAAAGAUUGACUCUAAUUUCUUAAAAAGCAUCAUGCAAACUUGAGACUUCUUUGAAAUGAGAAUAUCUAAACCAACCAUUAGCUUUAAAAUGUAAUGAAAUAGUCAUGAUUUCCAGGCUUUCCAAUUAAUGAAGUUGUCAUACAAUUAUGGUUUAUUGACAUUAAAUGACAUACUUUUCGUUUUCA